GACGAACGCUGGCGGCGUGCUUAACACAUGCAAGUCGAACGGAAAGGCCCUGCUUUUGUGGGGUGCUCGAGUGGCGAACGGGUGAGUAACACGCGAGUAACCUGCCCUUGAAUUUGGGAUAACUUCUGGAAACUGGGGAUAAUACAGGAUAGGAGCUCCUGCUGCAUGGUGGGGGUUGGAAAGUUUCGGCGGUUGGGGAUGGACUCGCGGCUUAUCAGCUUGUUGGUGGGGUAGUGGCUUACCAAGGCUUUGAAGGGUAGCCGGCCUGAGAGGGUGACCGGCCACAUUGGUACUGAGAGACGGCCCAGACUCCUACGGGAGGCAGUAGUGGGGAAUAUUGCACAAUGGGGGGAAGCCUGAUGCAGCAACGCCGCGUGCGUGAUGACGGCCUUCGGGUUGUAAACCGCUUUCGCCUGUGACGAAGCGUGAGUGACGGUAAUGGGUAAAGAAGCACCGGCUAACUACGUG
rnacentral:rRNA from 1 species